rnacentral:lncRNA from 1 species
AAACAAAACUUUUAUUGAAAUUCCAAAAAACCAAUACAAAGCAAGGCGAUCCAACAGAAUCCUAGGACAACAACAACCAUUAAGGCAACAAAAGUCUCCCUAUAUGACCUCUAAGACCUGGCCUUGACCAGCAACGAUACACAAUCGCAUCAAUAAUUUUUGUAUCCUUUGCUAGUAUUAUCCACCAUGUUACUAAAACAAACAUCAUUUCAAUAUUUCCAUCACCCAUAGAUGGUUUUAGC